UGUUUUUAGGUGAUGAUAGCUCUCAGUGGCAGUUUGUUAGACGUUUCUAUACCCACCAGUCAGUCACUGGCACUCCAUCAUAUCUUGAAUACACUGAAAUCAAUAUACAGUUAACCAGUCGUGGUCACAUUCAGUCUCCUUAUCUUAGACUGUCCUAUCAGGCUAUACCUACCAAUGAUGCACAAGCUUCAUUUGUUGUUAGAUACAGUGGAGGAAACAAUGCUUUUAAUAUUGCUUUAUUACUAGUGUGUUUGUUACUCUAACUGCAGUCUAUGCAGGCUAGUCCAUAAUCGUAUUAAUAAAUAAUAUUUUAAAAUUUUGUUUUUUUAGACUUUUAUUUAUCUGGUUGUAGUCCUUUGUUCCAUGUUGUCCUUUUCGUUUUGUUCCUGGUCUCCAUUUCCUCUAAAUUUUGGUUGUUAUUCUACAAGCUACAAGUGACCCUUCUCCUAAUGCUCCCUCUCACCUCCCAAAAAACAACCUUCACACACUCCUGACUCUCUUUUGCUCCGUCCAAAUAAUUUACCUUAUAUGGAAACAGACCUCUGUUAGGAUAUUCCUCAUUGACUGGGAGAAACCAAAAGGGGCGGGACAGGCAAAGGACACAACUGUGCCCAUCACAUCAACAGUGAGCAUCUGGAGGACAUAUUUUGUGGCAAAUGAGUGGAACGAAAUUCAAACUAAUCGUAAAUUGAAUUCUUUUUGUUUUGAUGUUGUCGCUGCUGUUUCUGGAGAUUAUUGGUUUGGGCAAUUUUGCCAAGAGGAAUCCAAAUAAAAAUGUGACCACACCCACUGAGCGAUACACUGCUCCUCAUAGCUCAGUACUAAGGAUUGGACUGGCCAUUAUUGUGUACUUGUUGAUAGCUGGAUGAAAAGGAAAGAAUUCUCUAUUUAAAAAAUUUUUUCAGAUACAUAUAUGUAAAAAUUAUAACAGUAGCAAAUUUGAUUAUGUCUCUUGCAAUGUUGAUGUUACAGAGGAAUUUGAAAUGAUUGUAUUAUCUUUAAACUUGUCA